CUCAGCUUCCGCUCAUCAGCAUUCUACCUUCUCGAGUACUUGUACUUGCCCACAUUCAUUACCACACCUUCUAUACUACUUACUCUAUUCUAAUACCCACCUAAUCAACCACACUCCAUAACAAUGCGUUUCUUCGAGACUGUUCUUGCUGGCGCCGCCCUUGUGGCCGCUGCCUUCGCCGUCGAGAUCAACGACUUCCCCAGCAACCCUGAGGUUGGCAAGACCUACACCAUCACCUACUCGCCCAAGGACAACACCCCAACCACCA
rnacentral:misc_RNA from 1 species